CCUACGGCUGGCAGCAGUGGGGAAUAUUGGACAAUGGGCGAAAGCCUGAUCCAGCCAUGCCGCGUGUGUGAAGAAGGCCUUCGGGUUGUAAAGCACUUUCAGUGGGGAAGAAAGCCUUGGGGCUAAUACCCUCGAGGAAGGACAUCACCCACAGAAGAAGCACCGGCUAACUCCGUGCCAGCAGCCGCGGUAAUACGGAGGGUGCGAGCGUUAAUCGGAAUUACUGGGCGUAAAGCGCGCGUAGGCGGUCUGAUAAGCCGGUUGUGAAAGCCCCGGGCUCAACCUGGGAACGGCAUCCGGAACUGUCAGGCUAGAGUGCAGGAGAGGAAGGUAGAAUUCCCGGUGUAGCGGUGAAAUGCGUAGAGAUCGGGAGGAAUACCAGUGGCGAAGGCGGCCUUCUGGACUGACACUGACGCUGAGGUGCGAAAGCGUGGGUAGCAAACAGGAUUAGAUACCCGUGUAGUC
rnacentral:rRNA from 1 species